UACGUAGGGCGCAAGCGUUAUCCGGAAUUAUUGGGCGUAAAGAGCUCGUAGGCGGUGUGUCGCGUCGGCCGUGAAAACCUGGGGCUCAACUCUGGGCGUGCGGUCGAUACGGGCAUCACUUGAGUUCGGCAGGGGAGACUGGAAUUCCUGGUGUAGCGGUGAAAUGCGCAGAUAUCAGGAGGAACACCGGUGGCGAAGGCGGGUCUCUGGGCCGAUACUGACGCUGAGGAGCGAAAGCAUGGGUAGCGAACAGG
rnacentral:rRNA from 1 species